GACGAACGCUGGCGGCGUGCUUAACACAUGCAAGUCGAACGGAAAGGCCCUGCUUUUGUGGGGUGCUCGAGUGGCGAACGGGUGAGUAACACGUGAGUAACCUGCCCUUGACUUUGGGAUAACUUCAGGAACCGGGGGUUAUUCCGGGUAGGAGCCCCUGCUUGAUGGGGGGGGGUGGGAAGUUUCGGCGGUUGGGGAUGGACUCGCGGCUUAUCAGCUUGUUGGUGGGGUAGUGGCUUACCAAGGCUUUGACGGGUAGCCGGCCUGAGAGGGUGACCGGCCACAUUGGGACUGAGAUACGGCCCAGACUCCUACGGGAGGCAGCAGUGGGGAAUAUUGCACAAUGGGCGGAAGCCUGAUGCAGCAACGCCGCGUGCGGGAUGACGGCCUUCGGGUUGUAAACCGCUUUCGCCUGUGACGAAGCGUGAGUGACGGUAAUGGGUAAAGAAGCACCGGCUAACUACGUG
rnacentral:rRNA from 1 species